GACCCCAUCGUCUAGCCCGGCCUAGGACAAGAGCUUUUCAAGCUCUCGACACCGGUUCGAAUCCGGUUGGGGUCGCCA
rnacentral:tRNA from 1 species